rnacentral:rRNA from 1 species
GAUGAACGCUAGCGGCAGGCUUAAUACAUGCAAGUCGAGGGGCAGCAUGAUUGUAGCAAUACAAUUGAUGGCGACCGGCAAACGGGUGCGGAACACGUACACAACCUUCCUAUAAGUGGGGAAUAGCCCAGAGAAAUUUGGAUUAAUACCCCGUAACAUAAUGAUGUGGCAUCGCAUUAUUAUUAUAGCUACGGCGCUUAUUGAUGGGUGUGCGGCUGAUUAGAUAGUUGGCGGGGUAACGGCCCACCAAGUCUACGAUCAGUAGCUGAUGUGAGAGCAUGAUCAGCCACACGGGCACUGAGACACGGGCCCGACUCCUACGGGAGGCAGCAGUAAGGAAUAUUGGUCAAUGGACGCAAGUCUGAACCAGCCAUGCCGCGUGAAGGAUUAAGGUCCUCUGGAUUGUAAACUUCUUUUAUCUGGGACGAAAAAAGGCGAUUCUUCGUCACUUGACGGUACCAGAUGAAUAAGCACCGGCUAACUCCGUGCCAGCCGCCGCCGUAACAC